rnacentral:lncRNA from 1 species
AGCAUAUAAAGUGCUAAAAAAUAUAAAUUAAUAUUUUAUCCUUUUCUGUUUAUAGAAUCAAUUGUUAUUGCAAUAUGAGCACUUAACAGUUCUUAUCACUUUGUGAAAUAGAACAGUUACUUGAAGAUGAACAAUUCCUGAAUGACUUAGAUGCAGAUGCAGUGGAUAAUAUAGAAUUGCCAUCUGAAAAUGUAGAUGAUUUGUCAGAUUGUGAAGAUAUAGAUGAGAUGUUGUUUAGGAUAUAAUUCCUAAAGAUAUCUGUAGCAAAGUUGAGUUACAUAUUACUGAUUCAGAACCAGUCUCAAGCGAAUCCUGCAUUAUUUGAAUAGCCACUUCCUAACAAAAGGAAGCUUUCUUCUUGGAAAACAUAAUCCAUAUUUUGUAGAUGACUCAUAAUAAUAAUAAUAAUAAUAAUAAUGUGAAAUUGUUAACCGGUAAUAUCAAGCAAACUUUAAAAGAUAAAAGUCUGGUAGAAUUUUUGAAGCAGCUUUUUGAUGAGGAUUUAAUAGAGCACAUUAUAGUAUAGAGUAAAUUAUAUGCAGAACAAAAAAAUUUCCAUCAAUUUGUAUUUACUAAUAACUGUUUUAAAAAAUUUAUUGGAAUAUUUUUAUUAUCUAGAUAUCAUUUUUUCCUCAAGGGCAGCUAUACUGGAAUGACGAUGAAGAUAUUGACAUACAAUUUCUUGAACAUAAUAUACGAUGAAUAUGUUCUCUAUAAAUUAGCAAAUGAAAACAUGCCACUGCUAAUUUUCCAGAGAUCCAUUUCAAGAGUUUAUCUGAAAAUAGAUACAAUUGUAAAUCCAAAAUGUUCAGGUUGUCCAUCUAAAGUUAUAAGCAAUUCCAGAAGAUGUACAAUUGGAACUAAGAGUCAUAUUAGGGGAAGAACAGAAGGUGGUUGAUAGGGUAAAUGCGUUUUAUGUAAAAAGCAUGUAAGAAAACGAUGCAAAAAUGCAAUGUUGGACUUCUUAUAGAUUGCUUUCCACAGUGGCAAAGGAAUAAUAUUCCACUACUUGAGAUGUGAAUAUAAAUUGUUUAUAUGGAAUAAAAUAUUCCUAUAUGUGAUUUACUUUUUCAUCUUAUUAUUUAC